AUUGAACGCUGGCGGCAGGCUUAACACAUGCAAGUCGAGCGGGGGAAGGUAGCUUGCUACCGGACCUAGCGGCGGACGGGUGAGUAAUGCUUAGGAAUCUGCCUAUUAGUGGGGGACAACAUCUCGAAAGGGACGCUAAUACCGCAUACGUCCUACGGGAGAAAGCAGGGGAUCUUCGGACCUUGCGCUAAUAGAUGAGCCUAAGUCGGAUUAGCUAGUUGGUGGGGUAAAGGCCCACCAAGGCGACGAUCUGUAGCGGGUCUGAGAGGAUGAUCCGCCACACUGGGACUGAGACACGGCCCAGACUCCUACGGGAGGCAGCAGUGGGGAAUAUUGGACAAUGGGGGGAACCCUGAUCCAGCCAUGCCGCGUGUGUGAAGAAGGCCUUAUGGUUGUAAAGCACUUUAAGCGAGGAGGAGGCUACUCUAGUUAAUACCUAGGGAUAGUGGACGUUACUCGCAGAAUAAGCACCGGCUAACUCUGUGCCAGCAGCCGCGGUAA
rnacentral:rRNA from 1 species